rnacentral:rRNA from 1 species
CCUACGGGAGGCUGCAGUGAGGAAUAUUGGUCAAUGGACGAGAGUCUGAACCAGCCAAGUAGCGUGAAGGAUGACUGCCCUAUGGGUUGUAAACCUCUUUUAUCUGGGAAUAAAACGUUCCACGUGUGGGAUUUUGUAUGUACAAUAUGAAUAAGGAUCGGCUAACUCCGUGCCAGCAGCCGCGGUAAUACGGAGGAUCCGAGCGUUAUCCGGAUUUAUUGGGUUUAAAGGGGGCGUAGGUGGAUUGUUAAGUCAGUUGUGAAAGUUUGCGGCUCAACCGUAAAAUUGCAGUUGAAACUGGCAGUCUUGAGUACAGUAGAGGUGGGCGGAAUUCGUGGUGUAGCGGUGAAAUGCUUAGAUAUCACGAAGAACUCCGAUUGCGAAGGCAGUUCACUGGACUGCAACUGACACUGAGGCUCGAAAGUGUGGGUAUCAAACAGGAUUAGAUACCCCAGUAGUC